UGAGGACUAGUAUCAACGGCAUCACGAGGAUCCUACUGUCUCCCCCCUCUAAUCAGUGAAACUGAUCUCCCCGUGAAGAAGCGGGGAUAUACAUAUAAGACGAGAAGACCCCAUGGAGCUUUAAACCUGACAGCACCCGCUCAUUCUAUACCCCAUUAUUUGCCCGACCCCUGUCUGCUCAGUUUUAGGUUGGGGUGACCACGGAGUAUAAAAUAACCUCCAUGAAGAAGGGGAUAUUUCCCUUAUUAGAGAACCACACUUCCAAGAACUAAUAAAUUAAUUUUCAAUGACCCGAUACCCGAUAAUCGAUCAACGAACCAAGUUACCCUGGGGAUAACAGCGCAAUCCACCCUGAAAGCCCUUAUUAACAGGUGGGUUUACGACCUC
rnacentral:rRNA from 1 species